UUGCAGCAGAAACACCCUGCUAAAGAACAAGUAUCUUGGUUCACAGCAAAGAGGACAAAGAAAAACAGCAAGUUAUAGAGGGUUGAAUGCUGGAUUGAAUCAAAGACAAAGGCUCACCAGCAUGUCACGGAAGGAUGGACUCAGGAAUGAAGCAGAUUCAGCGGCACCUCCUGAAAGUAAUGAUGAAGCACUGACUCAUGUAACGUCUCGCUGCACUGGCUCGAGCAGAUUCUCUGCAAAUACUACCACUGCUGAGGCAAUGUUACUGUGAGAGAAUAGAAAAUUAUUAUUCCAAAGGGAUUUGAAGACUGACUGAAUCAGGUCUGGAACAUUAUUGAAAUGACGCAGGAAGAAGCAGAAUCCACCCCAGGGAAGAAAGUUUAAUGAAGGGAUGACUUCCUGAAUUAGGGAACAAAAAAUGUAUUAGACAACAAGAAAGAAGCAACAGAAGAAGCCAGUAUUGCUCCUUGGUCUAAAAGGAAAGUGAGAAAAUGGUUUUUCUGAAAUCAGAGAACUUGAACAGUGAGGAGGGGCUACCAGAGACUCACCAAGGAAGAGAUGCUAAGGCGAAUUUUCAAGAUAAAUUGGUUUUGGGGGAUACUUAUUCAUUCAGUUAUGCAUGGCCACUGUUUAUUCUUUAUUCUAUAAAUAACAUUGGGGAUAGACCCAUAUGACAUUGGACACAAAUGGAUAAUCAACAGAAGAAUUGGUCAACAAAGAUGAAAGUACCCUGGAGAGACAAGUGAUAGCAGAUGAAAUGAACAUAAUGGAGCUGUAGAAGAAAUAGCUGACUGUGGGAAUGUUGACAUGGGCCCAGUUGAGAGACUGUGGAUAUGUAGCCAGAGGAACUUAGUGCAAGUGAAUUUAUUUACAUAAAUCGGGCAAGAGGUUGUGAUAAAAAGGAUAAAGCUGCUCUAGAGAAAGUGACUUCACAUUGAGAGAACUCUCGGAGAUAGUUAGAUAUUUUACAAUAUUGAAAAUAUGAAGGUUAAAAUGUUUGAAGCUGAUCAAAACUUAGAAAGCACCAUGACAAUGCCCCGAAGCAGGAAAGAUGCUUUUUUUGUAUCUUAAGUUAUACAAUGACAAAGAGAAGGCAAGCACUGUUUAAACUAUUCUUGUUUGAAAGUAC